AUGAACACCGCUUAUGAUGGGCUCUCCCUCACAAGUGGUAGCAAAUUCCUGCACGAAAUGGAGGCGCAGAUGUUUUUGUCGCUUCCUGCGCAUAUAUGCCACUUUAGAGUUUCUCUAAAAUUGAAAUCACCAGUCCUCCAGGAUUUUCUCCCAGGCUGUGAGCUCUCCGGCCACACCCGCUCCUUCACCUUUAAGGUAGAGGAAGAGGAUGAUGCGGAGCACGUGCUGGCACUAACCAUACUCUGCCUCACCGAGGAAGCCAAAGACGAGUGUAAUGUGGUAGAAGUUGUGGCCCGGAACCAUGACCAUCAGGAGAUCGCAGUCCCUGUGGCCAACCUCAAGCUGUCCUGCCAACCCAUGCUCAGUCUGCACGACUUCCAGCUCCAACCACCUGUAACCUUCCGUCUGAAGUCGGGCUCUGGCCCUAUGCGGAUCACUGGGCGGCACCAGAUUGUUACGAUGAGCAAUGAUGUUUCCAAGGAGGAGAGCGAGGAACAAGAAGACAGUGACGAGGAAGAAGCUGAGCUGUGCCCCAUCCUUCCUGCCAAAAAGCAGGGGAGCAGGCCCUAGCCCUCCUUGGUCAGCUCCAUGCGCCAUGCACCGCCAUGAACCCUGUUCCCCGAGAAGUUUCAAGAAUUGUAAAUGUUUCUUCCUUGAAGAGGAGAGUUUGGGUGGGGUUUGGGUGGGAGGGACUUGGGUCUUUGGUGCUAGGAGAGGGCCUGUGCUCCACACAGCCCUGGUUUUCUGAUCUUGCACCAUUCUUGGGGUCUCUCUUCUCACCUGUCUGUGAGGAUUAGAAGUUAGUGCCUGAAGCUCAGAACUACACAUUUUUAAUAGUUUUUACAUUUUUGGAUAAAGGUUGAAAUAAAGUGGUGUGGGGUUUUUGCAAAAAAAAAAAAAAAAA